AGAAGGAGAUGGAGUACCGGGUCGAGCUUUUCAACCGGCAAAUUUGGGGCUGAGGAAAGAAGACGAGGAGCAACUUCUCUCUGGUCUGGUCGUUGGAACUUCAGGACAAGGUGAAGGUUUUCAAAUGUUGAAGGAGGAGGACAAUAGGAACUUCUGUGAUGUCUUGUCAUCUAUUUUCUUUUCUUUGUUGUAGAAUAGUUCUGUUUGGCACUUACUGGUUGGAUGUAAAGAUAUGUACUGCUAGAAUGAAUGCAUGUAACUAUAUUUUGGGCUCCUAUAAUAUUUCAUGUUGCUUUGAAAAUGUAUCGGAACUGGGCUAGGCCCAAGAUAACUUGUAGUGUGAUGUGUUGUAAUGUCAAUGGCAUAAUAAAAGAAGUUGGAUUGGAUCAAUUAUUUCGGCCCAGCCCAAGAUAUAUUGAACAAUUAUUUUUGAGGGGAAAACUUGAGAGGCCCAGCAAAGAAAUGGCCCAG